AGCGAACGCUGGCGGCAGGCCUAACACAUGCAAGUCGAACGAAGUCUUCGGACUUAGUGGCGGACGGGUGAGUAACACGUGGGAACGUGCCUUUAGGUUCGGAAUAACUCCGGGAAACUUGUGCUAAUACCGAAUGUGCCCUUCGGGGGAAAGAUUUAUCGCCUUUAGAGCGGCCCGCGUCUGAUUAGCUAGUUGGUGAGGUAAAGGCUCACCAAGGCGCCGAUCAGUAGCUGGGCUGAGAGGAUGCUCAGCCACAUUGGGACUGAGACACGGCCCAAAGUCCUACGGGAGGCAGCAGUGGGGAAUCUUGCGCAAUGGGCGAAAGCCUGACGCAGCCAUGCCGCGUGAAUGAUGAAGGUCUUAGGAUUGUAAAAUUCUUUCACCGGGGACGAUAAUGACGGUACCCGGAGAAGAAGCCCCGGCUAACUUCGUGCCAGCCGCCGCGGUAA
rnacentral:rRNA from 1 species